GCCUAACUUCAGUACCAGGGAAAUUGGUUGAAACUAUCCUACAGAACAGACUCUCAGACACGUAGAUGGACCCUUUUUUUGGGAGAAGAGUCAACACACCUUUUGUAAAGAUUUUUGUCCACAUAAUUCCACACGUGGUGUGCAUGCAUUCCAUGCAUGAGAUUGGAUUCUUUUGGCCAGCAGGGUCCAAUGGGGCUGCACCUGCGCCCUAGGUGUCCUUGCGUCUCCCCACCUGAAAACAUAUAGGAUGGAGUGGGCCUAACUGUUGCUUAGUUCCUUCACCAAUACAGAAUUCCGGAACAGUAGGACUCCAUAGUCGCAGGGAAGGAAGGCAGGUCAUGGGAUCCAUUUGGAGAACACAUUUUGGAGAACCACAAUUACCAUAAGGGAUAGAAGUUGGAUUUGCGAGACAGUAUUUGUCAGGAUUACUUCCUCAUCCCCAUCCAAUCUUUCUGAAGACUGGGACAACAUUUGCACUUUUCCAAUCCUCUGGUGCUUACUCUCACAUUAAGUGAGUGCUAUUGAUAGCACUGCUCCUUACAGUAUCUAUUCAUUUUUUUUUAAAUGUUCACAAAUGAUUUAUGCAGGUAUUGUUACUGAAGGUUUUGGACAUUCUUCUCCAGAAACUGUCAUGGAUGAUGGCUACAGGGAUUGCUCCUGUGCAAUCACAGAACCAGCAGUUGACUCUAUUCAAGUCUAAAUAUUUAUUGCCAACUUCACAGGAUUUUGCAGAAGAUCCAGAAAGGCCCAUGCUGAUAACUGGUAGGUCAUGCUUACCUGGGCA